rnacentral:misc_RNA from 1 species
AAGACUAUAGACCUGCGGAGUACCUGCGGCGGGAUCAUUAUCGUAUUGUAACAAUUGGGGGGGCCACCGUGGGCUGUCGCUGACCCUUUGAAAGGGGGGUCGUGCACGCCCCCAUAGUGUCAUCCUCAUACAAUCCAACUCACCUCUGUGCAUCACCGCGUGGGUUCCUUUCUGGGUCGAGUCAGACUGGCUCAGAAAAAAGGGGCUUGCGUUUUCCAUACAAAUACCCUUAUAAAUCCA